CAGUCUCUUAAUAAGUCUGGGAUUAGGGGUGGCAAGUACAGUGUCAGCCGCCGCGGUAAUACCGGCGCCUCAAGUGGUAGUCGAUUUUAUUGAGCCUAAAACGUCCGUAGCCGGUUUGGUAAUUUUUUGGGUAAAUCAACUCGCUCAACGGGUUGAAUUCUGCGAGCACGGCCAGACUUGGGACCGGGAGAGGUGUGGGGUACUCUCAGGGUAGGGGUAAAAUCCUGUCAUCCUGAGAGGACCACCUGUUGCGAAGGCUCCACACUAGAACGGAUCCGACGGUCAGGGACGAAGCCUAGGGGCACGAACCGGAUUAGAUACCCGGGUAGUCCUAGGUGUAAACGCUGUGGACUUGAUGUUGGGGACGCUCCGAGCCUUCUCAGUGUCGAAGCGAAGGUGGUAAGUUCAAAACCUGGGGAGUACGGUCGCAAGUAUGAAACUUAAAGGAAUUGACGGGGGAGCACCGCAACAUGCUGGAUUGUGCGCUUUAAUUCGACUCAACUCCGGGAAUC
rnacentral:rRNA from 1 species